UCCAUCUCCAGAAACCCGAGAACUGCUCAACAUGUUGGGAGCGUCUCUCCUUGUCCUUCUGGGCAUCUGGUGCACAGGAUCCAGGUCUCAGCCUACGGUGAUUCAGGAAUCCUCCAUGUCACCUUCCCCUGGACAGACAGUUAAACUCUCCUGUUCCCUCAGCAGUGGACAAGUAACGUCAUAUGAGCAAUCGUGGUAUCAACAGAAAGAAGGAGGUCCUCCCAGAUUCCUGUAUUAUUACUACAACAGUGCAGCUCCAGGCUCUGGAGACCUCAGCCGCUUCUCUGCCUCCAAGGAGAGCAGCCAAAAUAAAUGGUAUUUGACCAUCAGCAACGUCCAGCCAGAAGACGAGGCUGCUUAUUACUGUGCUGUGUGGUAUCACCCAAGUACAGUGUUCCACAGUGCCUUCGCCCAGUAUCUCCUGACCCAGCCGCUGUCCGUCUCUGUGUCCCUGGGGCAAGAUGGAGGAAUCACUUGUUCAGGAAACAACAUUGGAGGAAAGAACGUUCACUGGUACCAGCAGAAGCCUGGUGGUCCCCCUGUCCUGAUUAUAUACGCUGAUAGCCAGAGGCCCACCGGGAUCUCAGACCUGUCCUAA